rnacentral:rRNA from 1 species
AGAUGGAUUGGUGCCUUCGGGAACUGUGAGACAGGUGCUGCAUGGCUGUCGUCAGCUCGUGUUGUGAAAUGUUGGGUUAAGUCCCGCAACGAGCGCAACCCUUAUCCUUUGUUGCCAGCGGUUAGGCCGGGAACUCAAAGGAGACUGCCAGUGAUAAACUGGAGGAAGGUGGGGAUGACGUCAAGUCAUCAUGGCCCUUACGACCAGGGCUACACACGUGCUACAAUGGCAUAUACAAAGAGAAGCGACCUCGCGAGAGCAAGCGGACCUCAUAAAGUAUGUCGUAGUCCGGAUUGGAGUCUGCAACUCGACUCCAUGAAGUCGGAAUCGCUAGUAAUCGUAGAUCAGAAUGCUACGGUGAAUACGUUCCCGGGUCUUGUACACACCG